rnacentral:rRNA from 1 species
UACGUAGGGUGCGAGUGUUAAUCGGAAUUACUGGGCGUAAAGCGUGCGCAGACGGUUUUAUAAGACAGGUGUGAAAUCCCCGGGCUCAACCUGGGAAUGGCAUUUGUGACUGUAAGACUAGAGUACGAUAGAAAAGGAUGGAAUUCCGCGUGUAGCAGUGAAAUGCGUAGAUAUGCGGAGGAACACCGAUGGCGAAGGCAAUCCCCUGGACCUGUACUGACGCUCAUGCACGAAAGCGUAAAGAGCAAACAGG